AAGCCACCGGGACUCGUCAUUGUAUCAACUGUGGUUUUCUGGUGGCAGAGGAAUCGGCCCAACAGGGAAAAUAAAGAUGGUACGAGUUAUCCUGAAGUAUGGACCCUACCAGAGGUGAAACGGCAUCUACCACAAUGCAGGAAAGGUCCAGGGCUUGUUGUCGGCUAUAGCCUGUUCUGGUCACGUGGUCAUCACUCAAAAGACGGAGAAGCAUGAAGCAUGUGAGGUGUACAUUGAUUCCAAACGAGUUUGGUCAUGUAACAUUAAAGGGCUGCAACCAGGUGACGGCCAUUCCCAUCCAUUGUGUGUUGAGGCUCUGAAGGCUAUAAAAGCUCACAGGGCAUCGUAAUAUAUAUGUAAUAUGAUGUGAUAAACAAUAGGUAUGACCUUUAUACCUACCUACGUCUUCAAUGACGGUUCCUUCUUAAAGACGAGACUGGUCGGAACCUGAUGUCCUCAGACUGUAAAACCAAAAUAAAAGUAUAUAAAUUAUUUCAUACACCUUGAUUGUC
rnacentral:lncRNA from 1 species